UUAAGCGACUAAGCGUACACGGUGGAUGCCCUGGCAGUCAGAGGCGAUGAAGGACGUGCUAAUCUGCGAAAAGCGUCGGUAAGGUGAUAUGAACCGUUACAGCCGGCGAUGUCCGAAUGGGGAAACCCAGUGCAAUUCGUUGCACUAUCGUUAACUGAAUACAUAGGUUAACGAGGCGAACCGGGGGAACUGAAACAUCUAAGUACCCCGAGGAAAAGAAAUCAACCGAGAUUCCCCCAGUAGCGGCGAGCGAACGGGGAGCAGCCCAGAGUCUGAAUCAGCUUGUGUGUUAGUGGAACGGUCUGGAAAGUCCGACGGUACAGGGUGAUAGUCCCGUACACCAAAAUGCACAGGCUGUGAACUCGAAGAGUAGGGCGGGACACGUGGUAUCCUGUCUGAAUAUGGGGGGACCAUCCUCCAAGGCUAAAUACUCCUGACUGACCGAUAGUGAACCAGUACCGUGAGGGAAAGGCGAAAAGAACCCCGGCGAGGGGAGUGAAAAAGAACCUGAAACCGUGUACGUACAAGCAGUGGGAGCACCUUCGGGUGUGACUGCGUACCUUUUGUAUAAUGGGUCAGCGACUUAUAUUCUGUAGCAAGGUUAACCGUAUAGGGGAGCCGCAGGGAAACCGAGUCUUAACUGGGCGUUAAGUUGCAGGGUAUAGACCCGAAACCCGGUGAUCUAGCCAUGGGCAGGUUGAAGGUUGGGUAACACUAACUGGAGGACCGAACCGACUAAUGUUGAAAAAUUAGCGGAUGACUUGUGGCUGGGGGUGAAAGGCCAAUCAAACCGGGAGAUAGCUGGUUCUCCCCGAAAGCUAUUUAGGUAGCGCCUCGUGAAUUCAUCUUCGGGGGUAGAGCACUGUUUCGGCUAGGGGGUCAUCCCGACUUACCAACCCGAUGCAAACUACGAAUACCGAAGAAUGUUAUCACGGGAGACACACGGCGGGUGCUAACGUCCGUCGUGAAGAGGGAAACAACCCAGACCGCCAGCUAAGGUCCCAAAGUCAUGGUUAAGUGGGAAACGAUGUGGGAAGGCACAGACAGCCAGGAUGUUGGCUUAGAAGCAGCCAUCAUUUAAAGAAAGCGUAAUAGCUCACUGGUCGAGUCGGCCUGCGCGGAAGAUGUAACGGGGCUAAACCAUGCACCGAAGCUGCGGCAGCGACACUAUGUGUUGUUGGGUAGGGGAGCGUUCUGUAAGCCUGCGAAGGUGACCUGUGAGGGUUGCUGGAGGUAUCAGAAGUGCGAAUGCUGACAUAAGUAACGAUAAAGCGGGUGAAAAGCCCGCUCGCCGGAAGACCAAGGGUUCCUGUCCAACGUUAAUCGGGGCAGGGUGAGUCGACCCCUAAGGCGAGGCCGAAAGGCGUAGUCGAUGGGAAACAGGUUAAUAUUCCUGUACUUGGUGUUACUGCGAAGGGGGGACGGAGAAGGCUAUGUUAGCCGGGCGACGGUUGUCCCGGUUUAAGCAUGUAGGCUGAUUGUCCAGGCAAAUCCGGAUAAUCAAGGCUGAGGUGUGAUGACGAGGCACUACGGUGCUGAAGUAACAAAUGCCCUGCUUCCAGGAAAAGCCUCUAAGCAUCAGGUAACAUUAAAUCGUACCCCAAACCGACACAGGUGGUCAGGUAGAGAAUACCAAGGCGCUUGAGAGAACUCGGGUGAAGGAACUAGGCAAAAUGGUGCCGUAACUUCGGGAGAAGGCACGCUGGUGUGUAGGUGAAGCCCCUGCGGGUGGAGCUGAGACCAGUCGAAGAUACCAGCUGGCUGCAACUGUUUAUUAAAAACACAGCACUGUGCAAACACGAAAGUGGACGUAUACGGUGUGACGCCUGCCCGGUGCCGGAAGGUUAAUUGAUGGGGUUAUCCGUAAGGAGAAGCUCUUGAUCGAAGCCCCGGUAAACGGCGGCCGUAACUAUAACGGUCCUAAGGUAGCGAAAUUCCUUGUCGGGUAAGUUCCGACCUGCACGAAUGGCGUAAUGAUGGCCAGGCUGUCUCCACCCGAGACUCAGUGAAAUUGAACUCGCUGUGAAGAUGCAGUGUACCCGCGGCAAGACGGAAAGACCCCGUGAACCUUUACUAUAGCUUGACACUGAACAUUGAGCCUUGAUGUGUAGGAUAGGUGGGAGGCUUUGAAGCGUGGACGCCAGUCUGCGUGGAGCCAACCUUGAAAUACCACCCUUUAAUGUUUGAUGUUCUAACGUUGGCCCCUUACCGGGGUUGCGGACAGUGUCUGGUGGGUAGUUUGACUGGGGCGGUCUCCUCCCAAAGCGUAACGGAGGAGCACGAAGGUUAGCUAAUCCUGGUCGGACAUCAGGAGGUUAGUGCAAUGGCAUAAGCUAGCUUGACUGCGAGCGUGACGGCGCGAGCAGGUGCGAAAGCAGGUCAUAGUGAUCCGGUGGUUCUGAAUGGAAGGGCCAUCGCUCAACGGAUAAAAGGUACUCCGGGGAUAACAGGCUGAUACCGCCCAAGAGUUCAUAUCGACGGCGGUGUUUGGCACCUCGAUGUCGGCUCAUCACAUCCUGGGGCUGAAGUAGGUCCCAAGGGUAUGGCUGUUCGCCAUUUAAAGUGGUACGCGAGCUGGGUUUAGAACGUCGUGAGACAGUUCGGUCCCUAUCUGCCGUGGGCGCUGGAGAAUUGAGGGGGGCUGCUCCUAGUACGAGAGGACCGGAGUGGACGCAUCACUGGUGUUCGGGUUGUCAUGCCAAUGGCACUGCCCGGUAGCUAAAUGCGGAAGAGAUAAGUGCUGAAAGCAUCUAAGCACGAAACUUGCCCCGAGAUGAGUUCUCCCUGAGACUUUAAGUCUCCUGAAGGAACGUUGAAGACGACGACGUUGAUAGGCCGGGUGUGUAAGCGCAGCGAUGCGUUGAGCUAACCGGUACUAAUGAACCGUGAGGCUUAACCUU
rnacentral:rRNA from 1 species